rfam:Xenopus laevis strain J chromosome 2S, whole genome shotgun sequence.
AGCACUGGAUGGUAUCUGCACCCAAUGGUAAAUACCUGUUGUGGUGUUCAAUAAGCAGUGCUAUACUAACUCAGCAAUUGGCAUCGUUGGUUUUAAGGCUUUAUGCUUUAAAUCCUGGUUUUUCUGCUGAUACAAGC